GAAUGCUGACAUAAGUAACGAUAAAGCGGGUGAAAAGCCCGCUCGCCGGAAGACCAAGGGUUCCUGUCCAACGUUAAUCGGGGCAGGGUGAGUCGACCCCUAAGGCGAGGCCGAAAGGCGUAGUCGAUGGGAAACGGGUUAAUAUUCCCGUACUUGGUGUUACUGCGAAGGGGGGACGGAGAAGGCUAUGUUGGCCGGGCGACGGUUGUCCCGGUUUAAGCGUGUAGGUGUGUGUUCCAGGUAAAUCCGGUUCACUUUAACACUGAGGCGUGACGACGAGGCACUACGGUGCUGAAGCAACAAAUGCCCUGCUUCCAGGAAAAGCCUCUAAGCAUCAGGUAACACGAAAUCGUACCCCAAACC
rnacentral:rRNA from 2 species